ACGAACCGUCCAAACGUUAUUCGGAAUCACUGGGCUUAAAGGGUGCGUAGGCGGCCCGGUAAGUUGGGUGUGAAAUCCCUCGGCUCAACCGAGGAAUUGCGCCCAAAACUGUCGGGAUUGAGGGAGGUAGAGGUGAGCGGAACUUAGGGUGGAGCGGUGAGAUGCGUUGAUAUCCUAAGGACCACCGGUGGCGAAAGCGGCUCACUGGGUCUCGUCUGACGCUGAUGCACGAACUCUAGGGGAGCGAACGG
rnacentral:rRNA from 1 species